GGUAGCGUGGCCGAGCGGUCUAAAGGCGCCUGGUUUAAGGCACCAGUCUCUUCGGAGGCGUGGGUUCGAAUCCCACCGCUGCCA